CUCAUCAACGUAAAGAGCGACAAGCGUCAGAAGUACCAUUGAUAAAUUUGACCUUGACACUUAUUCAUAAACCCGGAAGCAUGUUGAAUAUCGGUGCUAUCACCAAUAUAUUGAAGAUUUCUGCUAUUCUAUUGUUAAUACAAGUAUGUACAGACGUAAAUGAAGUUGAAACAUCGCCCCAACAAACAUAUAUACUUACUCAGAGACGAAACUGGAUAAUACCUUUUUAGAUGCUACUGUAAGUGUGCCAGGCUACAAACUGGAGAGACGCGAUAGAAAUAUAAACGGGGGUGGUUUAUUGGCAUACACCAGAAGUGACAUUCCAUCAAGGAGAAGAAAAGAUUUAGAAUCGGAUCACUUAGAAAAUAUUGUUAUAGAGGUACCACAAGUCAGAACUUCAAAUUUUGGUAAGAACUCCUUCAGGUAUGCUGCACCUGUUCUGUGGAAUUCCCUUCCUGAAAGCUACAGAAAUGCUGUAAACUUCAGUCAGUUUAAAAAUCAGAUUUCUUUUUGGAGUGGAAAUGAUUGUAAAUGUUCUUUGUGUAAAACUUGAAUCUCUCGAAUAGUUGCAUCUUUUUUAUAUACCCAUAGAACAGGUUAGCAGCAUACUUGAUUGAUGUAUAUGUUUUCCUGCGUGACAUUAUGUAUCUAAUUUUUGCCCUGUAUUUUUGGUUUUGCUUGCAUAUAGUUGUAUAUUAUUUAUUUUUUCCUGCAGUUGUGCUUUCUUGAUUUCUAUCAUGCAGUAGUAUUAUUUUCUUAUUUUGCCUUGUCUUUCAGUUAUGUCUUGCAUGCAAUUGUAUUUGCUUGGUUUUUCCUGCAGUUAUGCUUUCUUUAAUUUUCUUGCUAUCAUGUAGUAGUUGCUGUUCAGUUCACCUAAUGUCUGAUCCUGAGAUGAUAACUUCCUUUAGCUUUCUUUUAAAUUAUGCAUUUUUUGUGCUUGUUUUGAUGGUUUCACUUUUUUACAUUUAUUCUCUUAUGGCAGUUUUUAGGUCACUGACCUAGAACAGCAGCUGUUACAUGGUUUUUUAACUCAAUUACAUGGUCUUAAAUGUA